rnacentral:rRNA from 1 species
GAUGAACGCUGGCGGCAGGCCUAACACAUGCAAGUCGGACGGUAGCACAGAGGAGCUUGCUCCUUGGGUGACGAGUGGCGGACGGGUGAGUAAUGUCUGGGGAUCUGCCCGAUAGAGGGGGAUAACCACUGGAAACGGUGGCUAAUACCGCAUAACGUCGCAAGACCAAAGAGGGGGACCUUCGGGCCUCUCACUAUCGGAUGAACCCAGAUGGGAUUAGCUAGUAGGCGGGGUAAUGGCCCACCUAGGCGACGAUCCCUAGCUGGUCUGGGAGGAUGCGCAGCCACACUGGAACUGAGACACGGUCCAGACUCCUACGGGAGGCAGCAGUGGGGAAUAUUGCACAAUGGGCGCAAGCCUGAUGCAGCCAUGCCGCGUGUAUGAAGAAGGCCUUCGGGUUGUAAAGUACUUUCAGCGGGGAGGAAGGCGGUGAGGUUAAUAACCUCGCCGGUUGACGUUACCCGCAGAAGAAGCACCGGCUAACUCCGUGCCAGCCGCCGCUGUAC